rnacentral:piRNA from 1 species
UCAGAGUGUGUGUCUAUGUCCCG